rnacentral:lncRNA from 1 species
UGGACUCCAAGAUUCUCCAUCUCUCUCUCUUAACACGCAAUCGAAACUAUCGAAUUUUCUGCACUGCACCGUCUUUUCCCCCAUCAAUCUCAAAUUCCGUUUCUUUUGGACCACAGUAUGAUUCACAGGAUGAAGUUUUGAGCUCUCUCUCUGUAACGUUUUUGUGAUGAAUUCGGAGAGCAUAUUUGUUUUAUGGUGGCGUGAAGGAGACCAAUAUCCACAUGAUAAGUGGAAUUCCCAGGUAUCCAUUACCCAUUUCGCCUGCAAUAUUUUUAAGCACCUUAUCAAGAGAGUAUCUAAAUGUAACAUAUCCCUGUUCUUAUUCGUUUUCGGAACAUGUGAAGGGAUCCGAAGAUUGCAGAUAUGGGAUGAUAAACUGGACUGAACCGCUGCGGAAUUGUGACCUUCCACCUCCUCAUGGCCCCCAAAUUCAAAGGAGAUGUUUGUUUAGAGAGAGAAAGAGAAGCCACCCUUAUUCAUUCAUAGGUGAUGGUACUGAUGCAUCGCUCCCUGCUCACACAACUAAUGGCCGAGUAAUUCCAAG